rnacentral:lncRNA from 1 species
CAGCGGCACCUCGAGGUGCUGCCCGCCGAGCGCUGCCCGGAGCCCCCGGGCUCCCCGGCACGGGGCGGGAGCCCGAAACGCCCGCCGGCCCCCGCGACGCACCCCGGGGCCGGCGCUCCGCCGCUGCCCGCAGCCGCUCGGGAUUUUACUGGGCUCUUUUCUCCCCUUUCAGACCCCACGGGGCGGAAACCUGCCCCCCGAGGCGCCGCCGCGCAGCCGCCGCCGGUGCCCGUCCCGCCGCCGGGGAUGCUGCGGGAAGGCACCGGAGAGGAGGCGCGGGUGACCAGGUGCGGAGCCGCCGGCGGGCUCUUUCCCCGGCUAGCGGGGGGCUAAGGCGGCCCGUCUCCCCCUGCCCGGGCCCAGGCCCGCGUCCGGCGGGGCGACCCCGGCGCCAGCCCCCCGCGCGUCGCGACCUGCUGCAGCCCGAAAGCGAGAGGCGGCAGCGGCGGCGGCUGAAGGUCGAGCGCCCCGAAGGGUGGUUUAAAGCCGGGGGGGGGGUGUCCUCGGUCGGGUGCGAUGCCUUCGCCGCCCCCUUUGCCUGGCCGGGACCCCCAGUCCCUGCCGGCGAAUUUGUGCCUCGCAGGAGCUCGCCGAGGGCCUGGCUUCGCCGGCGCAGCAGGCGCAGGUCUGCGCGGCGCAGGUGAGGGGACGGCGGAGCAUCGCGGGGGGCGGCGAGAUCCCGGUCGCGCUGCCCCGCUCUGCAGCCGGGACAGGGAGGAGGGAAGGGCUUCGCCCGCUGCCGCCCCGGCCGGGCGCCCCGGCCCGGGCUUUGCUUUUUGCACCGGCCCCGCGGCGCCCUCCUGCCCCGCUCCGACCCCCCUCUUGCAGGCUCUGCCCCCCAGGCCCUCGGCUGCCUCGGGAGCACGGAGGAGCCCUUCCUGGCCGCUCUCCUGAGCACGUACGUAGCGCUGGCGGCAGCACCGGGCCCCGACGUGCUUUCGGGGGGGUUCCGCCUGCUUGGUGCCGGCGGAGACCCCGGGGUGCGGGAUCAGCCCGCAGCUGGGUUACGGGGGAAAGGGGGCGGCGCGGGGGGCGGCAGCAGAGCCGCCGAGUGCGGGGCGCUUGGGUGCCGCCGGGCUCUGCCGGUUGGUUUCUGUUCCAGCUGCGCGGAUGCAGCAGAGCGCCGGUGCGGUACGAAGUCACCCGGAGCCUCGUCCGCCUGGGCUGCCUGGAGGCGGCGGUGGCGGAGGAGCUGCUCGGGCGCCUGCGGGACGGAGGCCCCGCGCAGAGCGCGGACUUGCUGCUGGCGCUCGGCGGCGCCCUGCGCGCCCGCGCCGACGCUCCAACCUGCUGCGGCUGCCGGGGCGCGAGUCCCUCGGCCGGGGGCGGCGGGAGCGCGAGGCGCAGGCGGCGCUGCGGGAGCGGCUGCACGCCGAGCCGCUGCUGGCAAAGCCGGGGCCGCGCCGCCGCUCGCCCUCUCGACGGGCAACUGCAAGCGAAGCAUCACCUGGUCCGAAAGCAGGCUGUGGUUUCGCUGAUAAGUCACUUUUCCUCCUCUAAACCCCCAGAAAUAGCAGCGCUGAGUUCCCCCAGCUGCGCACAGGCGGUGGCACAGGCUCUCCGGCCUCCGGGAUCCCGCUCCCGCGGGGCGAGCGCGAGCCGAGCCCCUGCCAUCCCUCUGCUUCCCAAGGUAGAUCGCCAGGACACUGUCCGAGCUCGGAGCCAGCCGGAGGCACCUGCCAGAGGACCCGCAGCUCCCGCGUCCGGUGGAUGAGGCUCUCGGCGGGGAGCGUGCGAAAGCCCGGCCAAGCCUGGAGAAACCCCCUGGAGCUGGGAGGCGACAGGGACCCCCGGCCUCCGGAAUCCUGCCGGCAGCUCAGGGGGGCUCUCGGCAGCAGGGACCUGGUGUGGAGCGGCAGCAGAGGAAUUAAAAGCAGAGGAAAUUAAAAUUUCUGCUAUGGAUUUUGCUUUUCUUCUUGGAAGAGUAGUAAAUGUGGUACGUGGCAUGCCGGGGAGAGCCGUAUGGGCUGUGCAUGCGUUUCCAUGAAUAAGGAAGGGGAGGCCUCAUAGGGGCAGAUUGGGGGUUCUGGCUCCUCGGGCUGAUGGACGUUGUGAAGCAGGAGACGCAGGCCAAAGCGAGCAGGGGAAGGUGCAGCACAAACUCCAGCCUUUUGCCCCAAAAAUCUGCCCUCAGGUGGGACGCAGACUGAGUUUUCUGCUUCUUUGCAGCACAGAACUUCAUUGCUUUAGAUCAGAGGGAAACAGAGCCUGGGGGGGGGUCUUCAAACCCAAGAGAAAUCGGGGACUGUCUGAACCGGGCUGUCCAGGCUCCGCUGUUCGCAGUGGGAUCGAACCAGGGGUUUUGCAGCAGCAGGGUCAAUGCAAACGCAUUUUGCCUCCCGUUGCCCCAGCUAUGCGGCUGCAGAGGGGUGGGAGGGGUGCACGUGUCCACGCUGCAUGCGGUGCUUUGACUGGAGAGCCAGGAGAGAGAAAAGUAAUUAAAGAAGAUUAAGAAAAGCCUCUAUUGCAUAAUUUAAAUAAUUUAAAAUGAGCUCUGCAGGCAUCUGGGGUGGGGGGACGGAGGGGAGGGCUGCCCCGAGCUGCCCGGCAGGGUUCGUGCCUGGGGCAGUGGCUGGCCGCGGAGCCAGGGGGACCGCUGGGAGCUGACAUGUAGCCCGACCUCGGCGCUGCUGGAGGAAGGGUCUUUUCGGGUGCCCGGGGGUCAGUGCACAGUUUGCUGCUGCCUCAGAGUCACGGGGCUGAUAGUGAAAACAACCCUUGUGGCA